CCUACGGGAGGCAGCAGUCGAGAAUCUUCGGCAAUGGGCGCAAGCCUGACCGAGCGACGCCGCGUGUGGGAUGAAGGCCUUCGGGUUGUAAACCACUGUCAGAGGGAUGAAAUGCAGGUGGGUUCUCCCAUCUGUUUGACAUAGCCUCAGAGGAAGGACGGGCUAAGUUCGUGCCAGCAGCCGCGGUAAGACGGACCGUCCGAACGUUAUUCGGAAUCACUGGGCUUAAAGGGUGCGUAGGCGGCGCGGAAAGUUGGGUGUGAAAUCCCUCGGCUUAACCGAGGAACUGCGCCCAAAACUACCGUGCUCGAGGGAGAUAGAGGUGAGCGGAACUUAGGGUGGAGCGGUGAAAUGCGUUGAUAUCCUAAGGAACACCGGUGGCGAAAGCGGCUCACUGGAUCUCUUCUGACGCUGAGGCACGAAAGCUAGGGUAGCGAACGGGAUUAGAUACCCGGUAGUCCUAGCGUAACGAUGAGACACUAGAGUAGUAGGUCGUCCACUANCUCCUCUCGCACGAAGAGUAGUAGCNCCGCCGUCGGAGGUAGUGGUCGCGACGGACGUGAACGUAACGAAAGAAAGUUAAGUACGGACGUGAGACGUAGCCGACGGACGACCGACCGACGGGAAGGUUAGGGAGG
rnacentral:rRNA from 1 species